CCUUUGUUUUACUUAUCACACAUUUCUCGCGAAAUGUAGUACUCCGCAUUUAUGUCCUACAUGCACCUAUUCUACCCAAAAGAGACCCUUCCUCCAAACAAUGCCCUCUGAGGCACAAGACAAAAACAAAAACAAAAAAAAGACUCUAUCUAUAACUAAAAACAGAUACAAAAACGAGCACAUAUAUAAUUUAUCAAACACUCUUUCUUAGGUUUAAAAUUAUACUUUACUCAAGGUAAAUAUAGACAUCUCUAGUAGAGCCACCUCUGUAUAAAGCCCCUAGGAAGCUGUCUGCUACCCCACAACAAGGGGCUUUAUAAAGUGGCUCUAUAGAUUUUUCACCCUAUUUUAAUAAUCAAAUUUAAAAUAAUUUUUUUUAUUAAAUUUUAAAUUUUAAAAGUCACGAUUUUUUUUUUUGAAGAGCAAACACAAGAAUUUAAUUUAAAAUUGAAAAAGUAGAAGAAGAAAAGUAGAUUAACAGAUGUAGAUUUGAUAUAAAAAAUGAGUGAAGGUGAAAUGUAUUUAUGGAGGAAAUUACGUAAAAAAAAAUUAAAAAAAUUAGCCUACGAAAAUAAAUAUUUUAUUAAAAAUUUAAUUUUUUUUUUCAAAUCUGUUGCACGCACUAUAUAUUCAUAAAAACACUCGAGCCUGGCUCAAAAUCACGGGCCCCCUAUCAAGCCUGAAGGCGCGGCUAGACGCGAGGUUCACUGAGGUGAGGCUCGAGCCCCUCGGCCAAGCCGGGCUAAGCGAUGCUUUUACUUUAUACUUAAAAGCAAACGCACCAUAUAAGUUUAAGGCCAGGCUGGAGAAAAUUACACAGAGCUCGGCGCUAAAUUGAAUCCAAUGACGGAGAUGAUCUAAGAAUUGAAACCUUUUAACUUUUGAUGAAUAGAUAUAUGGAGACAAUUGUGAACAAGGCAGCAUCAUAAAAGUUACUGUAAUUCUUAUUUACCACAUCUGCUGAUGAAACCUUAGCCAACAACAAAGGCUGUGUCACCAAUCAGAACGAUCACACCUUAUAAAUUAUGCAAACUCUAUCCCUUCCCCAUUGAGUAAAAGUAGAAAUUCCUCAAAAUCGAAAAGUUAAAAGUAGAAGCAGUAAGCUUAAGCCCUUUCAUGGAAGUUAAGGGAGCGCGAGAAAGCGGCGGGAUUAGCCCGCAGCAGCAGCGCUCUAUCAUCAAGGGGUAUCCGGGCAGGUGCCUUGGAUUCCCUGAACAUUCCGACGGCGUCGCUAACGUUGUUGAUUCUCCACUCGUCCCUUGAAUGCUUGCCCAGAAGAGAAGGCGGCGAGGCGCAGUAGAAGCUGAAGAGGAAGUCGGUGUGGUCGAGGGCGGUUUUGGUCUUCCGCCGCCCCGAUCCGACGGCGACGUUCCUCAUUGUUCCGCCGCUGGUCCAGUAUCUCUGACACUGCUUGCAGAAGUGACGAGGCUGGUUGACGUUGUAGUUGUUGAAGUAGCAGAAUUUGGUGUCCAUGCUGCUGCACCGAGGGCACGGGAUUAUUUUCUCCGGCUUCUUCGCUUUCUCUUCGCUUCCGUUGCUUGAUUCGUAAUCUGAUGAUUCAUCCUGUAAAUUUCACUUCAUUCAUUAUUUACCACAUCUAUUCAAAUUAUUAUAUAUAUGGGUAAAUUGAGCAAAAGAGGGGAAUCUAGAGAGAAAGUGAUGAAUACCUUGCUAUCUAGAGAAGUUGAUGAUGCAAAGGAAGAGUGUCUUUGUUGAGACAGUGAUGCAUCGGAAAAGAGGUGGUCUGGAGAUAUGGUCUUCCCAAACAGCUUGAUUGCUGACAUUCUUUAUUCCUGUUUCUGCGAUUUAAGAUUUCUCCUUUCCACAAAACAAGAUAUGUGUUCCUCCUCUUCUUCUUGACACCUAAUCAGAUGCUUCGGAAAUUUUGAGGUCUUUUCGGUUAUUUUUGUUUACCCUUUUCUCUUUUCUCUUCCCUUGGGUUUGCAGUGUAUAUGGGAAGAUGGUAGGAGAGAGAAAGCUGCCACGUCACCGGACCAAAUUCAUUCUCAGCCACAAGUUUGUUUUGUGGCCUUGCGAAAAUCUUAAUAAUGGAUUUAACCGUGCCGCCUUUGAAUUGAA